AGGCCUCUUCUGCUUUUUUUACUGCCGUGUUGACAAAGUUGGAGGUACAUGAGAGGUUGGGAGGAGACAAAGCCAGGAUAGAUGACCCAAACUGACCCAAGGGAUAUUCCAGACCACGUGACAUCAUGCUCAGUGUAUAAACUGGGGGAAGAAGGGACAGUGAGAGUGAUGGUGUUGGUCAUCCCAGGUCACAGCUGCCUGCGAUGGUGCCCCACUCUUUGGGGAUGGCUGAAUGGCUGAAUUCCUGCCUGCCCAUGGGAAGUGAUGACACUAUGCUGCGAACAUGUGUCAAUUUGCUGAAGGGCAGGAGGGCUCUGCAGAGAGACCUGGAAUGAUUGGAUGGAUGAACAGAGUCUUAACAGGAUGAAGUUUGAUUAAAAUGACAGCAUAAGAAGGACAAAUUCAAAUGCAGUUUAAGUGAUAUAAUAAGAUAUUUCUUAUCACUGUCAAACUAGACUUCUACAAUGAAAAUUUUCUCCUCCUAUUCUUCAAAAGUUCCAUUCUCAAAUUACAAGAGUUCCCAAGACCUUGGACCUUCCAUCAACAUCUUACAGAUUCUAUUUUAUGCCAACCUGGUAGCCUGUUUCUCAAGACAAGUUCAGCUCUCUGAAGUGGUGCAAUGGAGGUCAAGCUAAUGCCACGGCUAACAAUGAGCAGGAAGAGCAUUCAUUGGAAAUCUGAGAAAGAAGAACCAGAACUCCAAGUGGUAGCUAACUCAUCCCAAGCCUGGUUUAUGAAAGUUUUAUUCACAUUGUUUUCUUAGUCAGAAAAUUAGAGAUAAUGAGCUAUGUAGUGAUUACUAUGACAAUUAUGUGUGCAUCUUAAUAGCAAGCAAAAAAGUAUAACAAAAAAAUUCCCUACCCUUCUACCCCAAAACUGGAAUGAUGAACAUACGAUUACUAGGGCUUGAUUUUCUCUCCACAGAUUAAUUUUAACAGCCUAGGAAGACAAUUUUUAGAUUACUUUAAAAGCAUUUUCACUCCACAGAAACCAUCCCAUAUCAUAGCUACUUCCAUGAGAAGCAAUUCUAUCAAUGUGAAAGUACUGCAGAUUACACUUCAAAUGAUACAUAAAUCUCAUGCCUGCCUUAAAAAUAUACACAGUCCAUCAAUAUGGAUAAAUAUACUUUAUUCCAUAUAUUGUCCUUGUUCAUAGUUAUUUCUAAGUUUUAGAGACUUGGUAUCCCCGCUAAAGAGCACCACCUCUAUAAAAUCCCAAGUCCUUGCUUGGUGAGUUUAUUUAAAAGGGGCUUCAGGUACUACUUUUUCCCUGAGUUAGGGGCAUAGGAGAAAUGUGACAUUGCUCUCAGAAGAUGAAAAAAAAGCUUGUAACCUUUGAAGAACAGUGUAUUAGCAUAGAAUUUUCUCAUAGCAGCCAUCGCAGAGCUGUGCUCUGCAUGGGUAGCUGGACAGGUGCUGCUAGCACAGCAGUGCUUUGGGUGCUGCUGGGCAGGGCUCUCAAUAUUUC